rnacentral:rRNA from 1 species
CCUACGGGUGGCAGCAGUGAGGAAUAUUGGUCAAUGGACGAGAGGCUGAACCAGCCAAGUAGCGUGAAGGAUGACUGCCCUAUGGGUUGUAAACUUCUUUUAUGAGGAUGAAACAGGGUAUUCAUACCCUCUUGUAUGUACCAUAUGAAUAAGGGUCGGCUGACUCCGUGCCAGCAGCCGCGGUAAUACGGAGGGUCCGAGCGUUAUCCGGAUUUAUUGGGUUUAAAGGGAGAGUAGGUGGAUUGUUAAGUGAGUUGUGAAAGUUUGCGGCGCAACCGUAAAAUUGCAGUUGAAACUGGCAGUCUUGAGUACAGUAGAGGUGGGCGGAAUGCGUGGUGUAGCGGUGAAAUGCUUAGAUAUCACGAAGAACUCCGAUCGCGAAGGCAGCUUACUGGACUGCAACUGACACUGAUGCUCGAAAGUGUGGGUAUCAAACAGGAUUAGAUACCCUGGUAGUC